UACGUAGGGGGCUAGCGUUGUCCGGAAUCAUUGGGCGUAAAGCGCGUGUAGGCGGUUCGGUAAGUCCGCUGUGAAAGUCGGGGGCUCAACCCUCGAAUGCCGGUGGAUACUGUCGGGCUAGAGUGCGGAAGAGGCGAGUGGAAUUCCUGGUGUAGCGGUGAAAUGCGCAGAUAUCAGGAGGAACACCGAUUGCGAAGGCAGCUCGCUGGGACGUUACUGACGCUGGAGACGCGAAAGCGUGGGGAGCAAACAGG
rnacentral:rRNA from 1 species